UCACAGCAGUUAUUAUAAAAAGUGACGUUUUUCAGGAGAGGACGUUUUCAAUUUGUCAAAGUUUUUAAGAAAAAUUAUUAAAUUUUCUGUUUUCUUGGUUCAAAAACAGUAAAACGCAUUCUUGUUCGGAAGGACCAUCCGACAAUAUGAAUUCGGCUGUUGACCCAUGGGUUAUAACGUCUCGGGAACGAGUGAAAUACUUGGAACAAUUCAAGUCAUUGCAACCAAUUAAUGGAAUUGUUACUGGACAACAAGCACGAGGGUUUUUUCUACAAUCACAAUUGCCUCCAUUAAUAUUGGGGCAGAUAUGGGCUCUGGCUGACACUGAUUCCGACGGUAAAAUGAACAUCGAUGAGUUUAGCAUCGCGUGCAAAUUAAUCAAUUUGAAAUUGCGUGGAUUUGAGGUGCCAGCCGCAUUACCGCCGGUACUAAUUGCAUCGUUAUCAGCAGUCGGUGGUACGCCAACUCUAACACCAACUGGUGCUGGAAGCUUAAGCCCAUUGGAUCCAUUGAAAUCGUUGGUGAAUCCACCUGUAAACCAUGCAAUGCCACCCGGACGUCCCCCAAUGCCCAUGCAAGCGGUUUUACCGCAAGCAAUCGUUCCUCCAAUGCCAGCACAACAAGCCAUGCCAAUCAUACCGCCAGCAAUGUCUCAACCAUUAAUACCUGGAAUGGGUGUCAUGCCGCAAAUGACACAGCCAUACAUGCCUGUUGGUGGUCCGCCAGUUGUAAUGUCUCAACCACUUAUGCAACCUGGUGCAAUUCCCUAUAUGCCCGUCACUCAGCCUUUGAUUCAGCCAACAGCAUCAGUAGUUGCACCAACUAUGGGACUGGAUUUACUCGGAAACAAAUUGCCAUCGCCUGUCGAAACGGCAGCUGCAAAUACUAGUUUACCAGCCCCACCUACACCGCCAAGUGGCACGCCGAGUCGUGCUAUGUCGAUUUCAGAAAAGCAACCAUCGUUAGAUUCACCAAGCGCUGCCUCUGGUCAAUUGGAAUGGGCCAUUAAAAGUCAAGCAAAACUAAAGUACACACAACUGUUCAACACAACCGAUCGCAACAGAACUGGCUAUUUGACUGGACCUCAGGCUAGGAAUUUGUUGCUUCAGUCACAGUUACCGCAUGGGAUUUUAGCACAGAUCUGGGGACUUGCCGACAUGGAUACUGACGGACGACUGGGAUGCGAAGAGUUUGUGUUAGCUAUGUAUUUGUGUGAUAUGGCUACUCAAGGUGAUCCAAUACCGACAACACUGCCUCCAGAGUUGAUACCACCGUCAUUCCGUAAAAGUUCUCGUCAGGGAUCCAUAACUGGAGUAGUCGUCGGUUCACGACAUGGAUCAGUUUCAUCGCAAGGUGUAGCUAGUGUCAAUGAAUCAGAUCCCAGUUGUGGCUUGCCCGGACAAACAUCUUUUGAGGACAAACGUAAGGAAAACUAUGACAAGGGUCAGGCGGAGCUGGAACGACGCAGGAAAGUGUUGUUAGACGCUCAGCGAAAGGAACAAGAAGAACGCGAACGCAAAGAACGAGAAGAGUCUGAUAAACGAGAAAAGGCUAGAUUAGAAGCAGAACGAAAACAGCAGGAAGAAUUGGAGCGUCAGUUGCAGCGUCAACGUGAAAUUGAGCAAGAAAAGGAAGAGAAACGUAAACGAGAAAUCGAACAGAAGGAAGCGGCUAGAAAGGAAAUGGAAAAGCAACGACAACUGGAAUGGGAGAAACAAAGAAUUGCCGAAAUGCAGUUGCAACGACAGCGUGAACAAGAAAAGGUUUUGAAAUUGAAGGCACAAAAUCAAUCGCUCACCAUUGAGCUGAGCACACUCAACGAUAAAGUCAAGGAUUUGUCGCAAAAGAUCUGUGAUACGCGAGCCGGUGUGACAAAUGUGAAAACGAUUAUCGACGGCAUGAGAUCCACCCGUGACACUCAAAUGUCCGACAUGGCACAACUGAAGGCAAGAAUAAAGGAGCAAAACCAAAAACUAGUUCAUUUAAGCCAAGAAAAGGCCAAAAUGGACAGCAAGAGUAAGAGUCAGAGCGGCGAUAACGAUCAGGCAGCAUUCUCCAACAAACAACUCCACAUCAACCAACUCAAAGGUAAAUUAGACACAACCAAAGAAGAGCUGGCCGCUAAACAAGCCGAUUGUACAACAAACGAUGAGCAACUGGACGAAUUGAAAACGCAACUGAAUGAGUUGAUAGAGACGUGCGAGGAAAUCUACACAGACUACGAUCAACAACGAGCCCAAGUAAUGGAAAUGAAGAAUAAUCAAAAGAACCAAUCAAUGACAUCUGCAUGGGAUUCGACAAAUGCAUGGCAAACGGAAACUGCUACGACUGUAAGCAAUGUCGGCAGUGCAACUAAAUCAUACGAUGGCUAUGUCAAAUACCGAGCAAUUUACGAGUUUAGCGCUAGAAAUAACGACGAAAUUACAUUCCAACCGGGUGAUAUAAUCAUGGUUCCGUUGGAACAAAAUGCUGAACCGGGCUGGUACGCUGGCGAAAUAAAUGGACACACCGGUUGGUUCCCUGAAUCCUAUGUGGAAAAAGUCGAGAGUCCGUCAUAUGAAGCUGCACCGAACACGAAGCUAGAAGAGAUACAAGAAGUAGUGGAGACAAUACCUGCAUCAUACGAAGAGCCAUACGAUAACGGUGGUGAAUCGGAGAACUACAUCGCUUGCUAUCCAUACGAAUCGAAUGAAAUUGGCGACCUUGUAUUCCAAGUGGGUGAACAUAUCAAAGUAACAAAAAAAGACGGCGAUUGGUGGACCGGUUGCAUCGGCAAUCGAGUGGGAAUAUUCCCAUCGAAUUAUGUGCAACCGGCAACAACCGAUUCCAAUUACAAUGAACCUACGCAAAAUGGAUCGACUGCUUAUGUGACUGAGAUUAUCGAACCGAAACAACCGCAAAGUAUUUCCGAUGAAGCGAAAAAUCAAGAAGAGGCCGACACAGAAGUGUCCGAGAUCAAUACUCAACCAAUCAACGACAAUUAUCGCGAGGGAACGUACAGCCGUCCUAUGUCAACUACAUCGACAACGGGACGCAAACAAAAAGGUGAAGUGGCCCAAGUCAUUGCGCCAUAUGAAGCCACCAGUGCGGAGCAGUUGUCGUUGACACGCGGCCAACUGAUCAUGAUUCGAAAGAAAACGGACUCUGGUUGGUGGGAGGGUGAACUCCAAGCGCGUGGUCGACGUCGUCAGAUUGGAUGGUUUCCAGCUACUUACGUAAAAGUAAUGACGAGUGGCCGACUGAGCGGCAGAAGUACACCCGUUUCCGGCGGAAAGGUUCAAAUGAACGAAGCAAUUUUAGACAAAGUGAUUGCACUGUAUCCGUACAAGGCGCAAAACGAUGACGAACUAUCGUUUGAAAAGGACGACAUCAUAAGUGUUUUGGGCAGAGAUGAGCCUGAAUGGUGGCGUGGCGAAUGCCAAGGAUUGACUGGACUUUUUCCAAGUAACUAUGUUGGACCGUUCGUCACAUCCGGUAAGAAGAGAUAAAUUCAUGUUGUGGAAUGCGAUAGAAAAAAACUCUUUUUUGAUUAUCCUGAUUUUGUUGAUAUUAUGCCAUGAUAAACAUUUAUCGAACGAGGUAAUGUAUAACGCGAAAGUCGCGCUGUCUAAACCGUUAUUCUCUUAGUGUACUCUCUCAUUUCAUUAAAUUAACCAGUAAACAAGAUCAUUGCAAAUAAUAAGAAAUAUUUAAUUGAAUCUAAAGAAAAAAAAUUAACUUGGAACUGUGUACCACUGCUAAGCAAAAUAGCCUAUGUUAUCGUCGUUAUAAAUUCUAUAAUUAAUUAUAUUAAAAAAAUACAAAAAAUGGAAGAGAAAUGAUGAAGAGAGGGGGGACGAAUGGGGGAGAAGAUUAUGAAGACGGAGAAGAAACAUAAAAUUAACGUAAAUUGAAAGUAUUAUAUUUAAAUUGAAAAUUGAAACAAGAAAAUAUAUUUAAAAAUGAAAAUUACAUUUGAACAAUAUUCUCAAAACAAGUGAAAUUUGUUCGUUAUUCGAAUUUCUGAGAAAAAUUACCUAAAUCUAUACUUGAAACUAUAAAAACAAUCAGUUCAUUUUGGAAAUUAAAGCUAAGACAAAAUGUAAAA